GACGGGGGAUGCAAGUGUUAUCCGGAAUCACUGGGCGUAAAGCGUCUGCAGGUGGUUUCCUAAGUCCACUGUUAAACCUUGAGGCUCAACCUCAAAUCUGCAUUGGAAACUAGGAGACUUGAGUAUAGUAGGGGUAGAGGGAAUUUCCAGUGGAGCGGUGAAAUGCGUAGAUAUUGGAAAGAACACCGAUGGCGAAGGCACUCUACUGGGCUAUUACUGACACUCCGAGACGAAAGCUAGGGGAGCAAAUGGG
rnacentral:rRNA from 1 species